CAGAGCCGCGGAGUAGGUCGCUCCUGGGAUCAGCUCCAGCCCUCAGGCGGGCAGCGCGGAGCGUAGAGAGCGGGAGCCGAGGGACCGGCCGUGCCGCGAGCCCUCGGGCCGCCCCCGCCGGGAGCGCCCCUGACACGCAAAGAUGAAAUUCCCGGGCUCCGUGCUGGCGUCCGUGUUCCUGUUCGUGGCCGAGACGAUGGCGGCGCUGUACCUGAGCAGCACUUACCGCUCGGGCGGGGACGGCAUGUGGCAGUCCCUGACGCUGCUUUUCUCGCUGCUGCCCUGCGCUCUCGUGCAGCUCACACUCCUCUUCGUGCACCGCGACUUCAGCCGCGACCGGCCGCUCGUGCUGCUGCUGCACCUGCUGCAGCUCGGACCCCUCUUCAGAUUGUGAUCACCUCUGAAUGAGGCAUUGGAAUCCAACUGUCUUUGCAGUCCUCACAGCACAUAGCAAAGUGCAUCUUCAUUCAUCACAUAUUUGAAAGUAAAGAUGAUGGUCAGUCCUUGCUGUGAUUCUUCUUGCCAUAGUUGCCUCGAGGUGAAAGUACAAAGUUAACAACAUUCAAUAAAACAGGUGUUUUGAAGUCUUAUGCAUCUAUUGUCAGUCAGGCCACAUUGAAGAGCCUUAUGUCAGCAUCACCAAGAAGCGACAAAUGCCAAAAAAUGGCCUCUCAGAGGAGAUUGAGAAGGAAGUGGGCCAGGCAGAGGGCAAGAUGUUCACUCACCGAUCUGCAUUCAGCCGGGCAUCAGUGAUCCAGGCUUUCCUGGGCUCAGCCCCCCAGCUGACCCUGCAGCUGUAUAUAAGCACCUUGCAGCAGAACAUCACUGUCGGAAGAAAUCCUUCAAUCAUUUCUCCAAUGACAUGCUUUGAAGCUGAAGCCAUCAAGGUCACUGUAGUUGAGACCCAAUCUGACUUGUCAUUUUUUUUUCUUAAAACAUGAUAUUCAUAAUAGUA